rnacentral:misc_RNA from 1 species
AACGCAUCUUGCGCUCUUUGGUUAUUCCGAAGAGCAUGCUUGUUUGAGUAACGGAAAAGCUCAACCCCGCUUUCUUUAAUUGGAAAGUAGUCUGGGUUUGGAUCAUGAUGUUUUGUUGUGCCUUUCGAGACACAACUGCAUUGAAAUAAAACAAGUCGAACUCUAUAAUAUCAGUUACGCAGGCUUCGGCUAGCUAUUGUUGUAUAACUUCGGUCUCAAUAGUGUUGCAAAAAAGAUAUUAUUGGCAGUAGCCUUACCACAAAACUGUAGCUUCGGCUAUAAAUUUUAUUAGCUUGUUCUCAAAUCAAGUAGGACUACCCGCUGAACUUAA